ACGCACUGCAUACGCCACCAACACCACUACCUUUUGCUUAACUCUUUGAUAUAAUUACUUGUUAAUUCUUGCAUGGCAGUGAGCCUGCUUGCACGCGAGGUAUCCGACCUCUGUCUAGGAAAGCCUGCACUGAGGUCUCUCCCGCUCACCGCCACUGUUGCAGAAGCUCUCUUUGCUCUAAAGAACUCUGAUGAUAACUUCUUAAGCGUCUGGAGUUGUGACCACACGCCUAAGACAGUUACUGGGUUUCAAGGGGAUGUUGAUGAAGAUGAAUGUAUAUGUGUUGGGAAGGUGAGCAUAGCGGAUGUCAUAUGCUAUCUUUGCCAGGAUGACAACUUGCUAUCGCCUUCAUCAGCCUUGAAAGCUCCUCUUUCUGUUCUGUUGCCUAAGAUUCCUGGCCUUGUCAUGCAUGUGGAACCAUCUUCGAGCUUAUUAGAAGUAAUUGAUCUGAUCCUUCAAGGAGCUCAAAACCUGGUGGUACCUAUAAAGACUAGACUCAGUUCCUUCAAUUCAAGAAGAAAACAGCAGCAGAAACUCCUGGUAACAACCAACUCCCCCACCACCAUCCACGGAGGCCGCGAAUUCUGCUGGCUAACUCAAGAAGAUAUAAUAAGAUUCCUCCUCAGCUCCAUCGGCCUUUUCUCUCCCAUCCCAGCUCUCUCCAUCGACAGUCUUGGCAUCAUCAGCACUGACAUCAUUACCACAGACUACCACUCCCCUGCUUCCUCCGCAGUUGCAGCCAUUUCUCGCUGUCUGGCGGACCAGACUUCAGUCGCAGUGGUUGACGGCGACGAGGGUAUCUUGAUCGGAGAGCUGUCGCCACUCACACUAGCCUGCUGCGAUGAGACAGUGGCAGCAGCCAUCACGACCCUGUCCUGUGGGGAUUUAAUGGCCUACAUUGAUUGUGGAGGCCCCCCAGAGGACCUCGUCAGGGUAGUGAUGGCAAGGCUGAAGCAGAGAGACCUCGAAGCUAUGCUACAAAAAUUCAAAAACUCAACAACAUCACUCGUCUCACUAUCUUCUUCGUCAUCAUCAGAUGAGGAGUCUGGAACAACAUUGUAUAGGUCAGGGAAGUACAGUAGGUCAAUGAGUUACUCUGCAAGGAUGGUGAGAAGAGCGGAGGCAAUAGUUUGCCAUCCUAAAAGCUCACUGGUGGCAGUGAUGAUUCAGGCAAUUGCACACAGAGUAAAUUAUGUGUGGGUUAUAGAGGAGAAUUGUAGCUUGGUUGGCAUUGUUACAUUCUGUAAUAUGCUGAAGGUUUUCAGGGAACAUUUAGAGCCACAGACUAUGGCCCAAAAAAGCUGAACAGAGGAGUGAUGAGGAGCAUUUCUAAUUUCUAGUAAAGUUUUGAUUUUUAGUUUUGUGGGUUUUAAUCAUCUGCUAAGGCUUAGAUGCUAGUAUGGUGGAAGCUUAAUAUAAGAAAAUGAGUGAUUAGGACUGUGAUGUGAAUGUGCAACAUCUUUUCUUUACUUAAUGAAUGUGCUUUUCACCUUUACUUUGUUUUUCCAAGUUUCAAUUAUGUGAACUUAGGAAAGCAGACAUUGGCAGAAGAUGUCUCUGUAAUCUGUCUCCUCUUGCCUUUUUAUAUUGUAUAAUUAG
rnacentral:misc_RNA from 1 species